UACGAAGGGGGCUAGCGUUGUUCGGAAUCACUGGGCGUAAAGCGCACGCAGGCGGGUCGGUAAGUCAGGGGUGAAAUCCCGAGGCUCAACCUCGGAACUGCCUUUGAUACUGCAGUGCUAGAGUGCAGAAGGGGCAAUCGGAAUUCUUGGUGUAGCGGUGAAAUGCGUAGAUAUCAAGAGGAACACCUGAGGUGAAGACGGGUUGCUAGGCUGACACUGACGCUGAGGCGCGAAAGCCAGGGGAGCAAACGGG
rnacentral:rRNA from 1 species